AUUGAACGCUGGCGGCAGGCCUAACACAUGCAAGUCGAGCGGAUGAAGGGAGCUUGCUCCUGGAUUCAGCGGCGGACGGGUGAGUAAUGCCUAGGAAUCUGCCUGGUAGUGGGGGAUAACGUCCGGGAACGGGCGCUAAUACCGCAUACGUCCUGAGGGAGAAAGUGGGGGAUCUUCGGACCUCACGCUAUCAGAUGAGCCUAGGUCGGAUUAGCUAGUUGGUGGGGUAAAGGCCUACCAAGGCGACGAUCCGUAACUGGUCUGAGAGGAUGAUCAGUCACACUGGAACUGAGACACGGUCCAGACUCCUACGGGAGGCAGCAGUGGGGAAUAUUGGACAAUGGGCGAAAGCCUGAUCCAGCCAUGCCGCGUGUGCGAAGAAGGUCUUCGGAUUGUAAAGCACUUUAAGUUGGGAGGAAGGGCAGUAAGUUAAUACCUUGCUGUUUUGACGUUACCAACAGAAUAAGCACCGGCUAACUUCGUG
rnacentral:rRNA from 1 species